GGCCGCUGCGCUCUGUGAGAGUGUCCGAACUUGACUGUCUUUCUGUAUGGAUGGUUCUGUGCUUUUGUGUGCGACCAUUCUCGGUGCACUGCACUGUCUAGGGUCGUGCUGGAAGUCGUGCAGGCUUCCUGCUGCUUCUUUUCUUUCUUUGUCGAUACUCAAGUUACAGCAAGUAGUAGCAAAUGCCACGGUCCUGUGACGUCCUAGGGUGCCCGAACGGAUCAAGACGCUUGGCCAAAGGCAGCUCGGCCGCCAACUCCAACGUAAUUUACCACUGGGUGCCGGAGAAGGAACCCCGACAUUCUGAAUGGCUGAGUGCCGUGCCCAUUCGGCACUGUGGACCAAAUGAGUCCAGCAGAAGACUCGUCGUGUGCUCGCUGCAUUUUCGCCCAGUAGACUACGAAGUCAAUGCCUCGCUAAGCAAGUCGCUAGGGCUGGUCCGCAGAGUGCUUUCACGUAGCGCUGUUCCAUCGAUCUUGCCGGACUGCUUUGAUAAGCAAAAGGUGAAGCCGAAGGAUCCAAGCGGCACGGCCACUCUUCCUGGGGCCAGGGAUGUGGAGAACCAAAGUAAAUUUCCAGAGAGCCUUUCAAUGAAAAUUGGCUGCUGCGCCAGACGUGCGAAGCAAGUUCAGUGUUGUCUACUCACCACAAGUGCAAGUAUAGGAGUUCAAGUGAACAGAACUGUAAAGGAGAGCAGAGAGAAAGGAACCCAAGUUGACUUCAGCUUGUACCAGAAAAAAACGGUGUGCAAGUAUCACUGACGUGCAUCUGGAUGGGAGGCCAGCUUCAUCGCAACAUUGUGUGUGACCCAGGUUAUUUGGAGGCAACGUUUGGCAACCAGCAAGUCCUCAAUUGUCUGGGUGUAAAGCAUCGUCAUGAGCCUACUGAGAGUGAACUGCAACUUGGGCAUUCGGAAGCAUGUUUGGAAGACGAUCCUUGAAAGGUUUGUUGAUGCAGACAUCAAGUGGCUGCAACUGGCCCGUCAUGCCACCCGGUAUGUCAGCGAAGUCCGUGUUCGCUUGGGCGAGCGCAGCCUUCACGUCGGUCAAGUGCCCACGGAGUCUCAAAAUGUUGCAGCUGAAGCGGAAGGUGAAACCCCUGCCGAACUGCAGUGUGCAACUGCACGAGGGGAUAAGCAUACCACGACCGCCAUUUGGAAUACCUUCGGCGAGGACCAAGUGUGAUGACUUCGAUAUGAAAGCGUGGCCCAUAGACAAGGUUGAGAAAGCAUUGUCCUGUUCCGCUUGGGCCCGUCUCAUCUCCGAUGCAACCGGCUAGUGCUCCAGGCCAACUUCAGGGAAUAUGCUCCACAGUGGGCAACCCUCUUACCCGCGGGUCACAAGAACAACUCGACAUUCUCACGGCGCUCAGUUUGACUUCCACCUCCGAUGGUGCUCGACACAAUAAAGAAGUUUUUAGCUGUU